rnacentral:rRNA from 1 species
AGAGUUUGAUCCUGGCUCAGAAUCAACGCUGGCGGCGUGCCUAACACAUGCAAGUCGAACGAGAAAGGGUAGCAAUACCUGAGUAAAGUGGCGCACGGGUGAGUAACACGUGACUAACCUACCCUUGAGUGGGGAAUAACUUCGGGAAACCGAGGCUAAUACCGCAUAAUACCCACGGGUCAAAGGAGCAAUUCGCUCGAGGAGGGGGUCGCGGCCGAUUAGUUAGUUGGCGGGGUAAUGGCCCACCAAGACGAUGAUCGGUAUCCGGCCUGAGAGGGCGCACGGACACACUGGAACUGAAACACGGUCCAGACUCCUACGGGAGGCAGCAGUGGGGAAUUUUGCGCAAUGGGGGAAACCCUGACGCAGCAACGCCGCGUGGAGGAUGAAGUCCUUCGGGACGUAAACUCCUUUCGAUCGGGACGAUUAUGACGGUACCGGAAGAAGAAGCCCCGGCUAACUUCGUGCCAGCAGCCGCGGUAAUACGAGGGGGGCGAGCGUUGUUCGGAAUUAUUGGGCGUAAAGGGUGCGUAGGCGGUUUGGUAAGUCUGAUGUGAAAUCUCUGGGCUCAACUCAGAGUCUGCAUCGGAAACUGCCGGGCUUGAGUAUGGGAGAGGUGAGUGGAAUUCCUGGUGUAGCGGUGAAAUGCGUAGAUAUCAGGAGGAACACCUGUGGCGAAAGCGGCUCACUGGACCAUAACUGACGCUGAUGCACGAAAGCUAGGGGAGCAAACAGGAUUAGAUACCCUAGUAGUCC